rnacentral:rRNA from 1 species
AGUUGUAUCCUGGCUCAGGAUGAACGCUAGCGACAGGCCUAACACAUGCAAGUCGAGGGGUAACAUUGUAGCUUGCUACAGAUGACGACCGGCGCACGGGUGCGUAACGCGUAUGAAACCUGCCUUUUACUGAGGGAUAGCCCAGAGAAAUUUGGAUUAAUACCUCAUAGUAUGUCGAUUUCGCAUGGAAUUGAUAUUAAAGCUUCGGCGGUAAAAGAUGGUCAUGCGUGACAUUAGAUUGUUGGUGAGGUAACGGCUCACCAAGUCGACGAUGUCUAGGGGCUCUGAGAGGAAGGUCCCCCACACUGGUACUGAGACACGGACCAGACUCCUACGGGAGGCAGCAGUGAGGAAUAUUGGUCAAUGGACGCAAGUCUGAACCAGCCAUGUCGCGUGAAGGAAGACGGUUCUAUGGAUUGUAAACUUCUUUUAUACGGGAAUAAUACUACCUACGUGUAGGCAUUUGAAGGUACCGUAUGAAUAAGCACCGGCUAACUCCGUGCCAGCAGCCGCGGUAAUACGGAGGGUGCGAGCGUUAUCCGGAUUUAUUGGGUUUAAAGGGUGCGUAGGCGGACUAAUAAGUCAGUGGUGAAAUCUUGCAGCUUAACUGUAAAACUGCCAUUGAUACUGUUAGUCUUGAAUUUAGUUGAGGUAGGCGGAAUGUGUUGUGUAGCGGUGAAAUGCAUAGAUAUAACACAGAACACCAAUUGCGAAGGCAGCUUACUAAGCUAUAAUUGACGCUNAUGCACGAAAGCGUGGGUAGCGAACAGGAUUAGAUACCCUGGUAGUCCACGCCGUAAACGAUGAUUACUCGUUGUUGGCGAUACAUAGUCAGCGACUGCGCGAAAGCAUUAAGUAAUCCCCCUGGGGAGUACGUUNGCNAC